UUGAACGCUGGCGGCAGGCCUAACACAUGCAAGUCGAACGGUAACAGGAAGCAGCUUGCUGCUUCGCUGACGAGUGGCGGACGGGUGAGUAAUGUCUGGGAAGCUGCCUGAUGGGGGGGGAUAACUACUGGAAACGGUAGCUAAUACCGCAUAAUGUCGCAAGACCAAAGAGGGGGACCUUCGGGCCUCUUGCCAUCGGAUGUGCCCAGAUGGGAUUAGCUUGUUGGUGGGGUAACGGCUCACCAAGGCGACGAUCCCUAGCUGGUCUGAGAGGAUGACCAGCCACACUGGAACUGAGACACGGUCCAGACUCCUACGGGAGGCAGCAGUGGGGAAUAUUGCACAAUGGGCGCAAGCCUGAUGCAGCCAUGCCGCGUGUAUGAAGAAGGCCUUCGGGUUGUAAAGUACUUUCAGCGGGGAGGAAGGGAGUAAAGUUAAUACCUUUGCUCAUUGACGUUACCCGCAGAAGAAGCACCGGCUAACUCCGUG
rnacentral:rRNA from 1 species